AUCGCUUCUUGGCAUUUUUGGCUAAGAUCAGUGUGUAGUUUCUGUUCUUAUCAGUUUAAUAUCUGAUAUGUCUCCACUUGGGGACUGUAUAUUAAAUUGAUUUUUGAAGCAGGGAGAUGGAAUAAGGGCUUGCUCUGUCCACUCCACGCAUCAUCCUCCUAUUGCAGUAUUUCCAGGAAUGGUGCACUUUCC
ensembl:snRNA U2 U2 spliceosomal RNA